rnacentral:tRNA from 1 species
GGAUUGUGGCUCAGUGGUAGAGUGCUUGCUGGCAUGUGUAAGGUGCUGGGUUCAAUCCUCAGCUCCA